GCUCGCAUGGCGGAAUGGCAGACGCCGCGGACUUAAAAUCCGCCGACCGCAAGGUCAUGAGGGUUCGAGUCCCUCUGCGAGCA
rnacentral:tRNA from 1 species